rnacentral:rRNA from 1 species
CCUACGGGAGGCAGCAGUGGGGAAUAUUGGGCAAUGGGCGCAAGCCUGACCCAGCAACGCCGCGUGAAGGAAGAAGGCCCUCGGGUUGUAAACUUCUUUUAUUCGGGACGAAACAAAUGACGGUACCGAAUGAAUAAGCCACGGCUAACUACGUGCCAGCAGCCGCGGUAAUACGUAGGUGGCAAGCGUUAUCCGGAUUUACUGGGUGUAAAGGGCGUGUAGGCGGGAGAGCAAGUCAGACGUGAAAUUCCAGGGCUCAACCCUGGAACUGCGUUUGAAACUGUUCUUCUUGAGUGAUGGAGAGGCAGGCGGAAUUCCGUGUGUAGCGGUGAAAUGCGUAGAUAUACGGAGGAACACCAGUGGCGAAGGCGGCCUGCUGGACAUUAACUGACGCUGAGGCGCGAAAGCGUGGGGAGCAAACAGGAUUAGAUACCCCAG